AUUGAACGCUGGCGGCAGGCCUAACACAUGCAAGUCGAGCGGAGUGGCGAACGGGUGAGUAACACGUGGGUGACCUGCACUGCACUUCGGGAUAAGCCUGGGAAACUGGGUCUAAUACCGGAUAGUGUGGGAUGGGCCCGCGGCCUAUCAGCUUGUUGGUGGGGUAAUGGCCUACCAAGGCGGCGACGGGUAGCCGGCCUGAGAGGGUGGACGGCCACAGUGGGUCUGAGACACUGCCCAGACUCCUACGGGAGGCAGCGGUUGGGAAUAUUGCGCAAGGGGCGGAAGCCUGAUGCAGCGACGCCGCGUGGGGGAUGACGGCCUUCGGGUUGUAAACUCCUUUCACCAUCGACGCGGUAGAUGGAGAAGAAGCACCGGCUAACUACGUGCCAGCAGCCGCGGUAAUUC
rnacentral:rRNA from 1 species